rnacentral:rRNA from 1 species
UACGGAGGGAGCUAGCGUUAUUCGGAAUUACUGGGCGUAAAGCGCACGUAGGCGGCUUUGUAAGUCAGAGGUGAAAGCCUGGAGCUCAACUCCAGAACUGCCUUUGAGACUGCAUCGCUUGAAUCCAGGAGAGGUGAGUGGAAUUCCGAGUGUAGAGGUGAAAUUCGUAGAUAUUCGCAAGAACACCAGUGGCGAAGGCGGCUCACUGGCCCGAUACUGACGCUGAGGCACGAAAGCGUGGGGAGCAAACAGG